CAGCAGCCACGGGAAUACGUAGGGCGCAAGCGUUAUCCGGAAUUAUUGGGCGUAAAGAGCUCGUAGGCGGUUUGUCGCGUCUGCCGUGAAAGUCCGGGGCUCAACCCCGGAUCUGCGGUGGGUACGGGCAGACUAGAGUGGUGUAGGGGAGACUGGAAUUCCUGGUGUAGCGGUGAAAUGCGCAGAUAUCAGGAGGAACACCGAUGGCGAAGGCAGGUCUCUGGGCAUUAACUGACGCUGAGGAGCGAAAGCGUGGGGAGCGAACAGGAUUAGAUACCCCUGUAGUCCCUGUCUCUUAUAA
rnacentral:rRNA from 1 species